CCAAUAGCGUAUAUUAAAGUUGUUGCAGUUAAAAAGCUCGUAGUUGAAUUUCGGGAUCGAUGGGUUGGUCGUGCCACCGGUACGUACUGGUCUCACUGGUUCCUCCUUCCUGAUGAACUAUGAUGCCAUUAAUUUGGUGUUGCGGGGAAUCAGGACUGUUACUUUGAAAAAAUUAGAGUGUUUAAAGCAAGCUAACGCUUGAAUACAUUAGCAUGGAAUAAUGAAAUAGGACGUUCGAUCCUAUUUUGUUGGUUUCUAAGAUCGACGUAAUGAUUAAUAGGGAUAGUUGGGGGCAUUAGUAUUCAAUUGUCAGAGGUGAAAUUCUUGGAUUUAUUGAAGACUAACUACUGCGAAAGCAUUUGCCAAGGAUGUUUUCAUUAAUCAAGAACGAAAGUUAGGGGAUCGAAGACGAUCAGAUACCGUCGUAGUCUUAACCAUAAACUAUGCCGACUAGGGAUCGGAUGAUGUUAAUUUUUUAAUGACUCAUUCGGCGCCUUACG
rnacentral:rRNA from 1 species